CGUCUUUUCUAAGGUGUUUACACGAAGGCGAACAUGUCUACACACAAAAAGAAGACCAGGAAAUUGCGUGGACACGUGAGCCAUGGUCAUGGACGUAUUGGCAAGCACAGGAAACAUCCUGGUGGCCGAGGUAAUGCUGGUGGUAUGCACCAUCACCGCAUCAACUUCGACAAGUACCAUCCAGGAUACUUCGGAAAGCUGGGUAUGAGAAAUUACCAUCUGCGCAGAAACACAAAGUGGUGUCCAACUUUGAAUUUAGACAAGUUGUGGACUUUAGUAUCUGAGCAAACGAGGCUUAAGUACAAGGAUGCUAAGCCUGAUGGCAAAGUUCCCGUCAUCGACCUUGUUAAGGCUGGAUAUUACAAACUUUUAGGAAAGGGAAGAUUACCCAAGCAACCAGUUAUUGUUAAGGCUAAAUUUUUCAGUAAGUCAGCUGAGGAGAAAAUCAAGGCUAUUGGAGGAACGUGUUUGCUGAGUGCUUAAAUUAUAAGGUAACUAUUUUGGAAUGUCUUGCAUCGAAAAUUUAAAGAAUAUUAUUAAACAGUAAAUUUAAAAGUAGUUUAGUGAUGAUAUGUGAACGGGCGGACUUAAAAGUUACUUGCUUCAUUGGAUUGUACAGCCAACAUCUUAAGUACAUUUUUUAAUAAUAAAAAAAACCAAAAAAAUCUUAAAAA